AUUUUGCAAAACAAAACAAUGGGUUUCGGAUUUUAAGAACCAAAAAUCUUUAUAAUGAAGAGAGGAUAUACAAGUUCACUUAAUUAAAUAAAAAAUGCUGCCAAUAACAUACUAUAAUGCAGGAAGCAUUUUCCUUGAAGAAAUCUGGGAGACAAAGCAACAAGGUGCUGAUUUGCAGGCAA